rnacentral:rRNA from 1 species
UACGUAGGUGGCAAGCGUUGUCCGGAAUCAUUGGGCGUAAAGCGCGUGUAGGCGGCCCGGUAAGUCCGCUGUGAAAGUCGGGGGCUCAACCCUCGAAAGCCGGUGGAUACUGUCGGGCUCGAGUGCGGAAGAGGCGAGUGGAAUUCCUGGUGUAGCGGUGAAAUGCGCAGAUAUCAGGAGGAACACCGAUUGCGAAGGCAGCUCGCUGGGACGUUACUGACGCUGAGACGCGAAAGCGUGGGGAGCAAACAGG